rnacentral:rRNA from 1 species
UACAGAGGCCUCAAGCGUUAUCCGGAUUUAUUGGGCGUAAAGGGUCCGCAGGUGGUCAUGCACGUCUCGCGUCAAAUCUGAAGGCUCAACUUUCAGACCGCGCGGGAUACGACAUGACUCGAGGCCGGGAGAGGUAAGCGGAAUUGCCGGUGUAGUAGUAAUAUGCGUUAAUAUCGGCAAGAACACCAAAUGCGAAGGCAGCUUACUGGAACGCGCCUGACACUCAGGGACGAAAGCGUGGGUAGCAAACAGG